CCCUUAGAUGUCCGGGGCCGCACGCGCGCUACACUGAAGGAAUCAGCGUGGCUCUGUCCCUGGUCCGAAAGGAUUGGGAAACCCGUUGAAUCUCCUUCGUGAUAGGGAUUGGGGCUUGGAACUGUUCCCCAUGAACGAGGAAUUCCCAGUAAGCGCGAGUCAUAAGCUCGCGUUGAUUACGUCCCUGCCCUUUGUACACACCGCCCGUCGCUACUACCGAUUGAAUGGUCCGGUGAAAUCUCGGGACGGCGGCUUGGUCGCUUGCGUCCGACUGCUGAAACUUGAUUAAACCAUAUCAUUUAGAGGAAGGUGAANUCGUANCA
rnacentral:rRNA from 1 species